rnacentral:rRNA from 1 species
CACGUAGGAGGCAAACGUUAUCCGGAUUUACUGGGCGUAAAGCGCGUGUAGGUGGUUCCGUAAGUAGGGCGUGAAAGCUCCCGGCUCAACUGGGAGAGGCCGUUCUAAACUGCAGAGCUAGAGGAUGGUAGAGGGAGGUGGAAUUCCAGGUGUAGCGGUGGAAUGCGCAGAUAUCUGGAGGAACACCAGUGGCGAAGGCGGCCUCCUGGACCAUUCCUGACACUCAGACGCGAAAGCUAGGGUAGCAAACGGGAUUAGAUACCCGUGUAGUCCCU